CACGUAGGGGACGAGCGUUGUCCGGAUUCAUUGGGCGUAAAGCGCGCGUAGGCGGCUCGGAAAGUCGGUCGUGAAAUGCCGGGGCUCAACCCCGGGACUGCGUCCGAUACUUCCGGGCUGGAGGUAGGUAGGGGAGAUCGGAAUUCCUGGUGUAGCGGUGAAAUGCGCAGAUAUCAGGAGGAACACCGGUGGCGAAGGCGGAUCUCUGGGCAGUAACUGACGCUGAGGAGCGAAAGCGUGGGGAGCGAACAGG
rnacentral:rRNA from 1 species